UCUUCCGCAAUGGACGGAAGUCUGACGGAGCAACGCCCCCUGAGUGAUGAAGGUUUUCGGAUCGUAAAACUCAGUUGUUAGGGAAGAAACAGUACCGUUCGAAUAGGGCGGUACCUUGACGGUACCUAACUAGAAAGCCACGGCUAACUACGUGCCAGCAGCCGCGGUAAUACGUAGGUGGCAAGCGUUGUCCGGAAUUAUUGGGCGUAAAGCGCGCGCAGGCGGUUUCUUAAGUCUGAUGUGAAAGCCCCCGGCUCAACCGGGGAGGGUCAUUGGAAACUGGGGAACUUGAGUGCAGAAGAGGAGAGUGGAAUUCCAUGUGUAGCGGUGAAAUGCGUAGAGAUGUGGAGGAACACCAGUGGCGAAGGCGACUCUCUGGUCUGUAACUGACGCUGAGGCGCGAAAGCGUGGGGAGCGAACAG
rnacentral:rRNA from 1 species